GACGAACGCUGGCGGCGUGCCUAAUACAUGCAAGUAGAACGCUGAAGGAGGAGCUUGCUCUUCUGGAUGAGUUGCGAACGGGUGAGUAACGCGUAGGUAACCUGCCUGGUAGCGGGGAAUAACUAUUGGAAACGAUAGCUAAUACCGCAUAAGAGUAGAUGUUGCAUGACAUUUGCUUAAAAGGUGCAAUUGCAUCACUACCAGAUGGACCUGCGUUGUAUUAGCUAGUUGGUGAGGUAACGGCUCACCAAGGCAACGAUACAUAGCCGACCUGAGAGGGUGAUCGGCCACACUGGGACUGAGACACGGCCCAGACUCCUACGGGAGGCAGCAGUAGGGAAUCUUCGGCAAUGGACGGAAGUCUGACCGAGCAACGCCGCGUGAGUGAAGAAGGUUUUCGGAUCGUAAAGCUCUGUUGUAAGAGAAGAACGAGUGUGAGAGGGAAAGUUCA
rnacentral:rRNA from 1 species